rnacentral:rRNA from 1 species
UGGUAGUGUAUUGGACUACCAUGGCUUUAACGGGUAACGGAGGAUUAGGGUUCGAUUCCGGAGAGGGAGCCUGAGAAACGGCUACCACAUCUAAGGAAGGCAGCAGGCGCGUAAAUUACCCAAUCGCGACUCGCGGAGGUAGUGACAAGAAAUAACAGACCGAAGCUAACGUUUCGGGAUUGCAAUGAGUAGAAUUUAAACCCCUUUACAAGGAUCAAUUGGAGGGCAAGUCUGGUGCCAGCAGCCGCGGUAAUUCCAGCUCCAAUAGCGUAUAUUAAAGUUGUUGCAGUUAAAAAGCUCGUAGUUGGACUUCUGGGAGGAUGCCAAUGUCCGCUUGUUAGCGUGUGCAGCGGCGUCCUUCCAUCCUUCUGUUAACGUUUCUUGGUAUUCACUUACUGGUUUCGGGCUCAGAUAUUUUACCUUGAGAAAAUUAGAGUGUUUCAGGCAGGCUUGCGCCGGAAUACAUUAGCAUGGAAUAAUAGAAUAGGACUUUAGUCUCCUUUGUUGGUUUGAGGGACUGAAGUAAUGAUUAAUAGGGAUAGUUGGGGGCAUUAGUAUUUAAUUGUCAGAGGUGAAAUUCUCGGAUUUGUUAAAGACUAACUUAUGCGAAAGCAUUUGCCAAGGAUGUUUUCAUUAAUCAAGAACGAAAGUUAGGGGAUCAAAGACGAUCAGA